GACAUUUGGGCCUCUUUUGACUC
rnacentral:siRNA from 1 species